UUACGACCAUAUUACGUUGAAACACCGAUUCUCAUACGAUCACCUAAGUUAAGCAACAUCGAACCUGGACAGUACCUAGAUGGGGGACACCCCUGGGAAUGCUAGGUGCG